rnacentral:rRNA from 1 species
GUGGGGAAUAUUGGGCAAUGGGGGAAACCCUGACCCAGCGACGCCGCGUGAGGGAAGAAGGCCUUAGGGUCGUAAACCUCUGUUGCGUGGGAAGAAGAGCGUGACGGUACCACACGAGGAAGUCCCGGCUAACUACGUGCCAGCAGCCGCGGUAAUACGUAGGGGACGAGCGUUGUCCGGAUUUACUGGGCGUAAAGGGCGCGUAGGCGGUCAUUUAAGUCAGCUGUGAAAUGGUUUGACUUAACCGGAUCAUGCGGUUGAAACUGGAUGGCUGGAGUGCUGGAGAGGCAAGUGGAAUUCCCAGUGGAGCGGUGAAAUGCGUAGAUAUUGGGAAGAACACCGGUGGCGAAGGCGACUUGCUGGCCACCAACUGUCGCUGAGGCGCGAAAGCCAGGGGAGCGAACGGGAUUAGAAACCCUGGUAGUCC